rnacentral:rRNA from 1 species
AACGAGCGAGAGAUAGCUUGCUUUCUCGAGCGAGUGGCGAACGGGUGAGUAACGCGUGAGGAACCUGCCUCAAAGAGGGGGACAACAGUUGGAAACGACUGCUAAUACCGCAUAAGCCCACGACCCGGCAUCGGGUAGAGGGAAAAGGAGCAAUCCGCUUUGAGAUGGCCUCGCGUCCGAUUAGCUAGUUGGUGAGGUAAUGGCCCACCAAGGCGACGAUCGGUAGCCGGACUGAAAGGUUGAACGGCCACAUUGGGACUGAGACACGGCCCAGACUCCUACGGGAGGCAGCAGUGGGGAAUAUUGCACAAUGGGGGAAACCCUGAUGCAGCGACGCCGCGUGGAGGAAGAAGGUCUUCGGAUUGUAAACUCCUGUUGUUGAGGAAGAUAAUGACGGUACUCAACAAGGAAGUGACGGCUAACUACGUGCCAGCAGCCGCGGUAAAACGUAGGUCACAAGCGUUGUCCGGAAUUACUGGGUGUAAAGGGAGCGCAGGCGGGAAGACAAGUUGGAAGUGAAAUCCAUGGGCUCAACCCAUGAACUGCUUUCAAAACUGUUUUUCUUGAGUAGUGCAGAGGUAGGCGGAAUUCCCGGUGUAGCGGUGGAAUGCGUAGAUAUCGGGAGGAACACCAGUGGCGAAGGCGGCCUACUGGGCACCAACUGACGCUGAGGCUCGAAAGUGUGGGUAGCAAACAGGAUUAGAUACCCUGGUAGUCCACACUGUAAACGAUGAUUACUAGGUGUUGGAGGAUUGACCCCUUCA